rnacentral:rRNA from 1 species
CGCAGCCUGCAACCCGGCUGCGUGAAGCUGGAAUCGCUAGUAAUCGCGGAUCAGAAUGCCGCGGUGAAUACGUUCCCGGGUCUUGUACACACCGCCCGUCACACCAUGGGAGCCGGAAACGCCCGAAGCCAGUGGCCUGACCGCGAGGAGGGAGCUGUCGAAGGCGGGUCCGGUGACCGGGGUGAAGUCGUAACAAGGUAUC